UAAAACUCAUAUCUCCAGCUCGCUCGUCCUCCACUCUGUUUAAACAAAGCAACUCCAGCCCCUCCACUCAUCACUCUCACAAUUAUAAAUCACGCACCUCCCUUCCUUUCUUCUUCUUCCUUCUUUCCUCUUCUUUCGUCUUCUCGCCCAAGUACACAGACCCACCGAGAGAGAGACAUCGAGAGAAUGAGAGAAAGAGUGAGUCCGAGAGAGAGAGAGAGAGAGAACUGGAGAUCAGACCCCGAGAGAAAGAACCCGGAGGACCCGUGAGGAGCCGAGAAGGAUCCAGAGACCCACAUCCAUGGGUCGACGCCGGCGGACCGAUCAGAGGUCCGAAACUCCAUGGGUCGUCGGCGGUGAACCCAGAGGGUACAAUCUCUGGCGGUUUCAAAGCGUUGUCCGGCGGUGCUUGUGAAGAUCAGUGCUAUCACCGAUUGGUGAUUUCUCGGUAGAUUUUCUGUAGUUAAACAGAAAAUUCGUAAGAUUUAUGGCACCUCGACGUUAUCCCAUUUGUAGUGAAAACUACGAAAACCAUCGUCAUGGCAACCGUGAUGACGAAUUUCCAUCUCCACCUCUACCAUUUAGUGAUGGAGUGAAUCCGGCCUUAGCACAAUUUAUGGCUGAAACUACUAGGCAGUUUGCCGAAGUAGUGGCAAGAAUUUCACAGCCGGUCGGCCGUUUUGAACAAGUAGGUUGCUCUAUGCGUGAUUUUGCUAGCCAGCAAUUUUUCCUAUUUGAUGGAACACAGGGACCGUUAGUAGCCAAAGCCUGGAUUACAGAUAUCCAGUUAUUGCGUGAGACACCUGGCUGUACCAACGAGUAGAAGGUUAGGUACACAGGACUAAGGAUAAUUGAUAAAGCUGCAAAAUGGUGGAAGUCUAAGAAAGAACUCUUAGGGAUAGAGUUGGGACAUAGGGUUGCUAUCCCUUGGGAUAGGUUUGUAGAAGAAUUUAAUGGGCGCUUCUUUCUGAGGGCACAAAGGCAAAUGCGGGCCAUCGAAUUCCAGAAUCUGGUACAAGGCGCUAUGACGGUAGAGCAAUAUUCGUCUAGGUUUAUUGAACUAGCAAGGUUUGGCCUCAACCUAAUCCCUGAUGAAGAAUCAAAGGCGGAACGCUUCGAAAAUGGCCUUAAUCCUCGUAUUAAGGAGAGAGUCAUGUGUCAUGAAAUCAGAAAUUUUGUCAAACUGGUUGAUAUAGCAUCAAUUGUCGAAAGAGGAAUGCGCGAAUCAUCCGCCGCUUAUGAACUAAAGAGGCAAACAACAUCACAGGUGACCUACCCAUCACAGGUAGUUGUUUUUCAAUUACCAGGUGUUGAAAGAUUUAAAACAUUCCUCUUUCGGCAAUUGAUGUUAUAUCGACCAGUUUGACAAAGUUUCUGAUUUCAUGACACAUGACUCUCUCCUUAAUACGAGGAUUAAGGCCAUUUUUGAAGCGUUCUGCCUUUGAUUCUUCAUCAGGGAUUAGGUUGAGGCCAAACCUUGCUAGUUCAAUAAACCUAGACGAAUAUUGCUCUACCGUUAUAGCGCCUUGUACCAGAUUUUGGAAUUCAAUGGCUCGUAUUUGCCUUUGUGCCCUCGGAAAGAAGCGCCCAUUGAAUUCUUCUACAAACCUAUCCCAAGGGAUAGCAGCCCUAUGUCCCAACUCUAUCCCUAAGGUCUCGUUUGGUUCGCGGAAUGGCUAUUCCAUUAGGAAAAGGAAUAGCUAUUCCUUGAAAUAGAAGAAGGUGGAAUAUAAUAGCUAUUCCUAUUCUUUUGUUUGGUUGUAAUGCUGAAAUAGAACACUGAAUAUGUAUUCCUUUGUUUGGUACAAUGCAAUACGCUGGUGAAUGAAAUCAUAUUGUAAUCAAAUUUUCUAAAACACCCUUAUAAUACAAAUAUAAUUUGCAUUCUUAA